rfam:Blautia sp. CAG:257 genomic scaffold, scf186
GAUCGUUUCUCUGGAGACAUCUGUUUCUAAAACAGAGGCCGAAGGUGCAAAUGACGCAGAAGACGUCUUGAAUCUCUCAGGCAAAAGGACAGAGUAUGCUAU